UCAAGUCGAACGGUAAGGCCCCUUCGGGGGUACACGAGUGGCGAACGGGUGAGUAACACGUGGGUGAUCUGCCCUGCACUCUGGGAUAAGCCUGGGAAACUGGGUCUAAUACCGGAUAUGAGCUCCUGUCGCAUGGCGGGGGUUGGAAAGGUUUACUGGUGCAGGAUGGGCCCGCGGCCUAUCAGCUUGUUGGUGGGGUAAUGGCCUACCAAGGCGACGACGGGUAGCCGGCCUGAGAGGGCGACCGGCCACACUGGGACUGAGACACGGCCCAGACUCCUACGGGAGGCAGCAGUGGGGAAUAUUGCACAAUGGGCGAAAGCCUGAUGCAGCGACGCCGCGUGAGGGAUGACGGCCUUCGGGUUGUAAACCUCUUUCAGCAGGGACGAAGCGAGAGUGACGGUACCUGCAGAAGAAGCACCGGCCAACUACGUGCCAGCAGCCGCGGUAAUACGUAGGGUGCGAGCGUUGUCCGGAAUUACUGGGCGUAAAGAGCUCGUAGGCGGUUUGUCGCGUCGUCCGUGAAAACUUGGGGCUCAACCCCAAGCUUGCGGGCGAUACGGGCAGACUUGAGUACUGCAGGGGAGACUGGAAUUCCUGGUGUAGCGGUGAAAUGCGCAGAUAUCGGGAGGAACACCGGUGGCAAAGGCGGGUCUCUGGGCAGUAACUGAC
rnacentral:rRNA from 1 species